rnacentral:lncRNA from 1 species
CACGGCCCAGGCCAUGUGUAAAUUUACAACAAAUCUAUGGCUUCCAUGAAUUAUUUCGAUUCUAAUAGGACAAAUACGAUCUUUAAAAAACUGAAGCGAUGAUGGGUACACCGUGUGUGUGGCUGUUCUAUUUUACCCACUGUUCGAUAAAUGUAAAACAAAUCUAACAAACCUGCAUAAAUGAUUUCUUAACUAACCGUUAGAAAAAAAAUGUGAUUACUUUUUUUACUUCUCAGUAAACCCAACAUUUGCAAUUUUAAAUUUACAUUUGUUAUCGUAAGCUACCGUCAAAUUCACUGUUGACAUGUUGUAACCAAGGAGCCGCCAUGUUGACUUGCUGAAAUCAGUAAAUGUGCGAAUAAUGCAAUAGAACAGAAAACAAGCAACACCUACCUCAAUACUUUAUUUUAAUGCAAUUGUAUCCGAGUUUAGAAGGUAAACGCAAUAGAAAAACCCUCAACUUUGACGUUUUCAUUCGUAUGACGUCAUGUUUUGAAAUGACGUUAAUGCGCAAAAAUCAUUACUGGAAUUUCGCGGAAUUUUAAUUUAUUUUGAUUUUGUCCAUUUUUCCGUUCUCUAAUGUGUAAAUUCUUUUUGUUAUGCAUCAGAAUCAGAAUAAAUGUUCUGUAGGGUUUUAUUCUUAACACAGCGAAAUCCACAACCAUUUACACAUAGGUUACGAUACAUGUGGAUUUACGUGGGAGGCAUAUUUAAACAGCCAUUUGUGUACAUCUUGGAGUCUGCGCUAAGUAUAGAUA